rnacentral:misc_RNA from 1 species
UAUAAUCUUAUUGUUGCUCAGUACGCUGCUGCACACUUUAGUUUACUGAAACGCGAGAACCAGCAGAAAAUAGCAAUGGUCAUAACACAGAUAAAGAAAAUCAGAUAUUAAAAUGAAAAUUCACUAAAUUUGAUGGUGGAUUAUAUAUAUUUUUUUACCUGACAUUCACUUUGGGUCAAUAUUUCUUCCCACAGUGAAUUUUGGAAACCUAUAGGAGCCUACAGCAGGUUUGAUUGUACAUAGACUUUAAUUGAUUACAUGGCUUAGUUUUCUAGCAAGUGCUAUAAAAACAGUGUAUUUAAUGGGAAUUUUUUGUGACAUGUAUAGUGCAUAAGUGCACAGGAGUUCUCUGGCAGAACCAUAUGCCCAUUGGUCUUCUGUCCUCUUUAGCCUACACAGUAGCCUGAAUCUUAGAACUUUAUGAUGCUUCUUCUGUUUAACAUGCGACUUUGAGAACAUUUAGAUCUUGGUAACAUGACUGGCACAAGGAAGCAUAUACGAAGCUUUCAUAAGAAAUACAUACAACUGUGCUGACAUUCAUCUAAAAGUCUUGGCGAAGAAAGUUGGAAAGUGCCCCCACCAUUCCCUGCCUCCUUUUUAUCUUUAACUUGUAAUUAUGUGUUGUACAUUUGAGGUGAUACCUUAUGUUGAAAAGUUUCGUUUAUGUAUGAUAAAAAAAAAAGAUUGGGC